UACAGAGGUCCCAAGCGUUACUGAGAAUCACUGGGUUUAAAGGGUGCGUAGGUGGUCCGUUAAGUCAGUUGUGAAAUCCCCGGGCUCAACCCGGGAACUGCUUCUGAUACUGGCGGACUUGAGGCCAGUAGGGGUCACUAGAACUGACGGUGGAGCGGUGAAAUGCGUAGAUAUCGUCAGGAAUGCCGGUGGUGAAGACGGGUGACUGGGCUGGUUCUGACACUGAGGCCCGAAAGCGUGGGGAGCGAACGGG
rnacentral:rRNA from 1 species